ACGAACGCUGGCGGCGUGCUUAACACAUGCAAGUCGCACGGAAAGACCCUGCUUUUGUGGGGUGCUCGCGUGGCGAACGGGUGAGUAACACGUGAGUAACCUGCCCUUGACUUUGGGAUAACUUCAGGAAACUGGGGCUAAUACCGGAUAGGAGCUCCUGCUGCAUGGUGGGGGUUGGAAAGUUUCGGCGGUUGGGGAUGGACUCGCGGCUUAUCAGCUUGUUGGUGGGGUAGUGGCUUACCAAGGCUUUGACGGGUAGCCGGCCUGAGAGGGUGACCGGCCACAUUGGGACUGAGAUACGGCCCAGACUCCUACGGGAGGCAGCAGUGGGGAAUAUUGCACAAUGGGCGGAAGCCUGAUGCAGCAACGCCGCGUGCGGGAUGACGGCCUUCGGGUUGUAAACCGCUUUCGCCUGUGACGAAGCGUGAGUGACGGUAAUGGGUAAAGAAGCACCGGCUAACUACGUG
rnacentral:rRNA from 1 species